rnacentral:lncRNA from 1 species
GCUCCAAGCUCCAACUUUUCUUCGUCGUUAAGGUCACCGCACAAGCUUCGCAAAAUUGUGGCUGCAUGGACUCCAACUGGCUUGGUGAGCAUGUUGAUCAAGUUCUUGAGGGUCUUGCUAACGCCACCUUUUCUGUAGCUUUUGUGCAUGAGGAGCCUCGAGCAAUUGUUGGGACACUGGAGAACGAGCACAACUAUGGCUUCCCCGGCUCCAAUGGCGAUGGUCAACUUGUUUGGUGCGGUUUCUCUCGCAAAUAUGGCCAUCAAGCUUUGGAUAACUCCUCCAGUCGCGCCAAUGCAAUCUCUAAGCUCGUCCUCGGUUGCUAGCAGCUUGAUCACGUCUACUGCCAGGUUUUGUAGCUCCAAAUCUUCGAGAUUGCAUAUCCUUUGAAGACUUCUUACUGCUGACACUACCGAAACUAUCUUCUUUCGCAGUGACCGUCCAGAAUCUCCUCCCACGCGAGCCAAUGUCCUCAAAAGCUCGAGUGAUCGACGGAAUACUUCUCUCGACGUUUGUGCUCUGGGGAAGUGCCAGUCUUCGUCUUGGAUAAAUUCAACCAGGAUGGAGAUAAGUCCGCUGGUGUUACCGAUUCGCACGCAUAUCCUGUGGUCCACGGCUAGCCCGUUGAGGAUAGUGAGUCUGUAGCUCUUUUCUUCUAGCACUUCCUCCUCUCUUGCGGCUAAAAGAGCAGUGAGGGCCUCCAGGGAUCCAGGGAUAGCGGAAAUCCUGAAGCAGUUACGGCGGUGACGAACCAGGUGCUUGAUUACUAUGGUUGCAGCUUUCCUGAUUUCGGCCUCACUAGGAUCCUUCCAGGUGAUCAUCUCUAAGAGUCUCUCCACAACUCCGGGCGUGGUACCAAUCCUCCGUCGCGUUUCUUUUAUUGAAUCUCCUUUUGAGACAAGAGCUGACAGUAUGUUGACGCUACCGAGCUGCUCUUCCCUUAUGCUUGACUGCAGCUUCUCGACGGUGAAAUCGAUAAG